GAUGAACGCUGGCGGCGUGCCUAAUACAUGCCAGUCGAGCGGACAGGCCCGGCUCUUGCUGCUCUGACGUUUGCGGCACACGGGUGUAACACACGUGUAGCCCCUCCCUAUCAUACUGAGAUCACUUGGGGACACGGGCUCUAAUCCCAGAUGAUCUCUUGCACCACAUUGUUCGAUGGUGAAAGACGGUGUUUUGGUCAGUUGUAGAUGGAUCUCCGCCUCAUGAUCUAGUUGGGGGGGUAGUGGCAUACCAAGGGAACGAUGGGUAGGCGGCCUGAGAGGGUGACCGGCCACAAUAGGACUGAGAUACGGACCAGACUCCUACGGGAGGCAGCAGUGGGGAAUAUUGCAGAAUGGGCGGAAGCCUGAUGCAGCAACGCCGCGUGCGGGAUGACGGCCUUCGGGUUGUAAACCGCUUUCGCCUGUGACGAAGCGUGAGUGACGGUAAUGGGUAAAGAAGCACCGGCUAACUACGUG
rnacentral:rRNA from 1 species